rnacentral:rRNA from 1 species
GACGAACGCUGGCGGCGUGCUUAACACAUGCAAGUCGAGCGGUAAGGCCCUUUCGGGGGUACGACGAGCGGCGAACGGGUGAGUAACACGUGGGUGACCUGCCCUCAGCUCUGGGAUAAGCCUGGGAAACCGGGUCUAAUACCGGAUAUGACUCCAUGACGCAUGUUGUGGGGUGGAAAGCCUUGUGCGGCUGAGGAUGGGCCCGCGGCCUAUCAGCUUGUUGGUGGGGUGAGGCCUACCAAGGCGACGACGGGUAGCCGGCCUGAGAGGGCGACCGGCCACACUGGGACUGAGACACGGCCCAGACUCCUACGGGAGGCAGCAGUGGGGAAUCUUGCGCAAUGGGCGAAAGCCUGACGCAGCGACGCCGCGUGAGGGAUGACGGCCUGGU